GGGGCUGGGGCGCGCCGAGCGCGGGCAGCAGGGCUGGACUGGCACGGCGGGACGGCUCGGAACGGCACGGAGCGAGCGUAGGUUUUUUGUUCCUGUAAAAAGAGUGACGGCUCACAGAUGCUGCUGGAAGUCCCCACUGCAUAGCUGGGAAGAGAGACUGUGAUCUUCAAGG